AAGAUUAAGCCAUGCAUGUCUAAGUAUAAGCAAUUAUACGGCGAAACUGCGAAUGGCUCAUUAUAUAAGUUAUCGUUUAUUUGAUAGUGCCCUACUACUUGGAUAACCGUGGUAAUUCUAGAGCUAAUACAUGCUAAAAAUCCCGACUUCGGAAGGGAUGUAUUUAUUAGAUUAAAAACCAAUGCCCUCUGGGCUCUUUGGUGAUUCAUGAUAACUUCUCGAAUCGCACGGCCUUGCGCCGGCGAUGGCUCAUUCAAAUUUCUUCCCUAUCAACUUUCGAUGUUUGGGUAGUGGCCAAACAUGGUUGCAACGGGUAACGGAGGGUUAGGGCUCGACCCCGGAGAAGGAGCCUGAGAAACGGCUACUACAUCCAAGGAAGGCAGCAGGCGCGCAAAUUACCCAAUCCCGAUUCGGGGAGGUAGUGACAAUAAAUACUGAUACAGGGCUCUUUCGGGUCUUGUAAUCGGAAUGAGUACAAUUUAAAUCCCUUAACGAGGAACAAUUGGAGGGCAAGUCUGGUGCCAGCAGCCGCGGUAAUUCCAGCUCCAAUAGCGUAUAUUAAAGUUGUUGUGGUUAAAAAGCUCGUAGUUGAACCUUGGGCCUGGCUGGCCGGUCCGCCUCACCGCGAGUACUGGCUCGGCCGGGUCUUUCCCUCUGUGGAACCCCAUGCCCUUCACUGGGCGUGGCGGGGAAACAGGACUUUUACUUUGAAAAAAUUAGAGUGCUCCAGGCAGGCCUAUGCUCGAAUACAUUAGCAUGGAAUAAUAAAAUAGGAUGUGUGGUUCUAUUUUGUUGGUUUCUAGGACCGCCAUAAUGAUUAAUAGGGACAGUCGGGGGCAUCAGUAUUCAAUUGUCAGAGGUGAAAUUCUUGGAUUUAUUGAAGACUAACUACUGCGAAAGCAUUUGCCAAGGAUGUUUUCAUUAAUCAGGAACGAAAGUUAGGGGAUCGAAAACGAUCAGAUACCGUUGUAGUCUUAACCAUAAACUAUGCCGACUAGGGAUCGGACGAUGUUAUUUUUUGACUCGUUCGGCACCUUACGAUAAAUCAAAGUGCUUGGGCUCCAGGGGGAGUAUGGUCGCAAGGCUGAAA
rnacentral:rRNA from 1 species